GGGGAUGCACAGGAUUUGAUUGAGUCCGAUUUCGUGNNGUAGCAGCUUAAUUUAUUAACGCUGCGGAUCCCGUUUCUUUUGCCCGGAAGGGUUUACGGGGUCUAAUAAAUCCGGGAAGAGGUCAUAUCAGCAAUAGCCCUGUUGAUACACCGGGGAUGAAAAAUCCAAAGAUCUUAGCUUGCGGUAGGGCAGAAAAGGUUCUUCAAGCACCCGGCUCUAUCUAAGAUAAGCUUGGAUAAGUUUGUAGAAGCUGCAUGAGAAGUUCUCAAGACGGGGGUUCGAUUCCCCCCAUCUCCACCA
rnacentral:tmRNA from 1 species